AUCGAGCUGACGAAUCUCAAAUAGGACGAAACACGCGUCCUGGAU
rnacentral:hammerhead_ribozyme from 1 species